AUUGGUCGAUGUGUGGCAAAUACACCUUUAGAUGAUGACCAGUCUGUGUCCUAUUUGCUCUUUUGCCUUGAAGAUCUGAAAGUUGUGACGGAACGCAGAAAGUUGGAAGCACUUACAGUGAAAACGUUGGGAAACCGGAUAGAAAAGCUGAUAAGGUUAGCCUGCAUGGAAAACAGGUUCUUUCAUGGAAGAAUGACCAUGGUGAAGAAUUACUUUAUAUGAGCAGUAAGUGAAUAGCAAGAUGAAGCAUGGGUUACCAGUUGCAACUC